UCUCUCUCUGAGGGAGAGAGUCUGGGAGGGGCGAGAGUAGGAGGAGGGAGAGGUAAUUUUUCUCUGUUCUGUGAGAUUCCAGGAGUUGAAUCA